rnacentral:tRNA from 1 species
ACUUAAAUAGCUUAAUUUUAAAGCUUAAUAUUGAAGAUAUUAAUAUGGAAUAUUAUUCCUUUAAGUA